UUCGUUUUGGUUUCCUAGUCAUAUUGAAAGUUUGCUCAACUGUUGCAGCUUUCAGUUGCUCCUUUGGCUCUUCAUUUUAUUUCUUUCUUUUUGAAUCUGUCAGAGAAUAAAGCAUAGCUUUCAAACUAUGGUGUAUCUCACAAUUGAAUACUAUAGUAUCAGUCCAGGAUUUUUUAUUCUAUAUCAGUUAUAGCUAUCAUGGACAGGAUUUCCUGUUGAAUUGCUUUCCCAGUUUCUAAAAAUGUUAAAAAUUGAUUUGAUUCCACUGGCUCUGAACAAAAAAACAAAAAGGCUUCCAUUGGCUGAAAACUCUUGCCCAAGGAAAAAGUGAACCAAAAUCAUGGAGUUUGUUUUGUUAUGGUUAAGGUUUACCUUCAGCCAUUGCUGAGAAAUCAACACGUGAAAAUUUGAUGUUAAUAGAACUCUUGGAAUGCCCUAUCUGAAUUUUGGCUUGUUAAUAAAAAUCAAUGAUGUCUCUUCUUAUUAUGGGGCCUUAACCAUUGUGUACUAAAGGGAAAAAAAAUAGAAAGGAUAGACAAAGCCCUGGAUUGCUUCAUUGGCAUGGAGCAUAUGGUGCUAAAGGCAAUGGAAGUAUGGAUUGACUUCUAUCAUUCCAUAUUAUGAUUCUGCCAUUGAUCUUAUGCAAUGCAAGCUAGAAAAGUGGGGCUUUAAUGCUUUUUUAAGAUUUUACCUCUGUUCUGGCCAAACUAUAAGGAAAAUCCAGAUGGUUGCUUGUUUAACUAACCAAAUAUGGUUCACCUUUGACAAAUCAACCGAUUUUCUGGCCAUGUUUGUCAUUGCACCUUGUUGAGUGCGGAUUGACUCAUCCGGGAGAAGUCUUCAAAGUGUUGUUCUCAAAGACACCGAC
rnacentral:lncRNA from 1 species